rnacentral:lncRNA from 1 species
ACGAAGAUUUUGAAGUCAUUCGACAUCUGAAGCUAUGAUUUAAAUAUCAGCAGUACAAUUUCAACCAGAAAAACUUAAGCUUCCUUGGAUUACCAAGUCAAAGAAAAGUUCCAAGCUUUCAGAAAGAAUUCUUGCUUGAAGAUAAAGAACAGCGCACUAACUACAAAGGAGGAAUCAAUGCUAAGCUUUUAACUGCACUUCCCAAAGGUGAGACUUUCUGUAAAUGGUUGACCGGUGUCCUGAGCCUGUAGGUCUUGUGUUGCCUGAUUUCCUUGGAGGGGGACUGCUUCACUGAUCUCCGGUGUAUACUCUUGUACGUGUCCCUUUCUGUCUAUUUCAACAAUUAGCCUCAACUAAGGUA